CAGAUACUCACCUGCGGCAGUGGCCCUCCACCUUCGCCACUCAGGAGCAGCAGGAGCCUGACUGGAUCGCCACUCGAGUCUUGCUAAGUUACCCAUGCUAGCCUCAAACUUGAGAUCCUCCUGACUCAGUGUGCUGAGUGCUGGGAUUACAAGUGUGCAUCACCACACCUGCCUUCAUCAGUACUGUUUUUGUGGUAACAUCUCUUUUAAUUUUUCUCCAUUGUUUUAUACCUUUACUUUCUUCAUGGACCUUACUAAGUCUCAAAUUAUCUUGUUUAUUUAUUUUUCUGUUUGCUUUUGUAUUACUCAGGAUUAACUAACUAUGGUAACAUAGACAAUUCCAAAGUCUCAGUGGCUUAAUACAAUGAAAUGUAUUGCUCCCUUGCACCCACAUCAAACAGAAUAGUGAUAGAACGCUGCUCCACAGGGUUAUUUAAGGACCCAGACUCCUGUCUUCUUAUAAUGCAGCUAUCCAUACAUGACAUGUAAGAUCUCCAUAGAAAAGAAAGAAAAAGAGCACAGAGCAGGCAUACUUGCUCUUUUUCAAUCUCUGGGCACAAUCCAUUGGCAACACUUAGCCAUGAAGCCUCAUUUAAAUAAAAGAUAUUUAUUAUGAUUUAGAUCUAAAAUGUCACCCAAAAGUUUCAUGUUUGGAGGUGGGGACUAUUUGAAAGGAGAGGUCACUGAGGCAUGACUUCAAAGGGUGUAUUCUCCUCCCUAACUCCUUCCCUUUCUCUCUACUUCUUGGUCACCAUGAUGUGAGCAACUUUCCUCUGCUGGACCCUUCCGCCAUGCCAUUUCUGUCUGCUAACUGGCCUGCCAUGGACUGGACCCACUGAAACUGUGAACCAAAAUAAACCUCUCUUCUUUUAAGUGCUUGAUAUUUUGCCUCAGUGAUGGCAAAGUGACCAGUACAGGAAAUUGGUACCAGAAGAGACAUCACUGUUGUGACUGUAUAUGGUUCAGAAGUCUUUGGAACUUGUUUCCAAAAGGAGUUUGGAAAGGGUUGGAGAUGCCAGUUGGAGAAGCCCCAGAAUGUUGUGAGCAGUGCUUGAGGUGUGAUACUAGUCAGAGCUCAAAAGAGUAGAAUGCUGAGAGGGAGACAGACAGUAAAGGCUUGGCUCAGGAAAUCCCAGUUGGGAACAAGGACUCCAUCAGCAAUUGAGCUAGAAGCUGUAUGUGUGUUACGCUCUGGCAAGAAAUCUGUCUACAUUUAGCUGAUAUACUAAGACUUUGCUAGAUAUUGAGAUUAAGGGUGGUGGGCUAAUUAACCUGGUGGGGGAAAUUUCAAGGCAGACCAACAUUCAGGCUGUGGCAUAGGUACUGCUGCCUCCUUUUAGUCAGAACUACAGUAAGAAUCAUGAAGAACUGCAGAGCUGAAUCAAUUGAAAAGUUUUCAGUUUUGUCAGAAAGGAAGCACCUGCAAAGUUGGGACAAAGGAAAGCAUGGUAGCUGAAAAAGAUUAGCAUUAAAAAGAAGUCAAAUAUUUUGUACAGGGACAAGAAGAGAAUCUGUAAGAGAAUCUCAGAAAUUAGUAAAACCAACUAAAGGCUCAAGGAUAUGAUACUGUAAAUCUUUAUUGAAGAAGAGAGUCCUUGAGAAACUGCUCAUUCAGGGCUGCCUAGGAAAGUGUAUCCCAAAGUUCAGCCAUCCAGGCACUCAGAGGCUGCUGCAACCAUGGUCCAAGGGACUCCAGCUACUGCUCAAGCUGGCAGCUGAUCUUGACAUCAUCCAUGUGGUACUGUUUUCUCAGGCAGGCAGAAUGCAAGAGUUAUGAGGGCACAGAGGCUUACACCCAGAUUUCAGGAAGCCUGGGAGGUCAGGCAAAAAUGUCUGACAGGGAUACAGUCCCUGCCAGGAGCCCACAAGAGAGCAGUGCCUGAAGCUAUGAGAGUGAAGCCAAAGGUGCAGUGGAGUCCCUAGCAUAUUGAAGAUCACCGGAAUAUGGACCAUCUACUGAGGAAAGCUGAAGGCAGUAAGUGUAGCCAGCACAAGAGAGAAGCCAUGUAGGCUGCAACCAGCAAGGCCACAAGGAUGGGGCUUCCCAAGUCCAAGCUCACAUUUCACCACAGCCUGCCCUGGGUGCUGGAAAUAGAGCUGCAGUAUUUAAUGUUUGCCCUACUGCGUUUCCAUCUUGCUUUGGGGCUCACAGCUAAGAGUUUGCCUGGAAUCUCAGAGGAGACUUUGGACUUGGACUUUUCAGCAGUGCUGAAACUGUUAAAGACUUUGAUGACGCUUAGACAUGGACUUAAUAGAUUUUUCUUAAUGAGAUGGACAUGAGCCCCUUGGGGGAGGGAUGAAAUGUUGUUAUGGUUUAGAUCUAACUUGUCCCCCAAAAGCCUAAUGAAUAGAGUUGGGGCUUUGCAAAAGUCAUUGGGUGAUGGGGCGGGGGGCGCUGUGCUUGUCAGUGGAUUAAUCCACUAAGUGUGAUGUUAGGUGGUGGGACUUCUUCAGAGGAGGCAGUCACUGGGCCCAUGACUCGGAAAGGUGUAUUCUUGUCCCAGACUCCUCCUCUUUCUCUCUGGCCUCCAUAACACGAGCACCUUUCCUCCACAGGGCCCUUCCACGAUGACAUUUCUGCCUGGAACAGCCCAACCAUGUACUAGACCCACUGAAAUUGAGCCAAAAUAAACCUCUCCUC
ensembl:lncRNA